CUGCCUGCCCAUGGGCGGAACAAGGACACAGAGUGCAAGCACAUGAGGCCUCCACACUAUACAAAGAUCUACAGGCAGCUAAGGAAUGCUAGAAGUUGGGAAAAUAGUCUUCCCCAGGUCUUGCCUUGCCUCAGCACAUGAGUGCAAAACUCCACGUCUGCAUCAGCUGACAUCACUCUGUUAAUGGACCCCAGACUGAGGAAGCAGCAAGAAGCCACAUCACCAGAUUUUGUUGGUGCCUUUCUUUCUAUGGAGUCCGGUCAAAUGCAGUUCAACUACGAAAUAGGGAGAUAGUUAACGAAGAGACUCAUACCAGAUGGAAAUGUUGAGGGUGAGUGAGUCUUGAGUCCACAUCCUGAAAUGGAGCAUCAUCUAUAACUCUCUCAAAGGCUUAGAGAGCAGUCAGACGAGGGAGAAAACAGAUGCCAAGAGCUGGAGACUGGGGAAGACGGCUGUAAAUCUCUGUCAUCUGGACGUGCCCGUGUGAUGGCUAACCUCGUCUGUCAACUUGACUAAUCUGGAAUGAACUACAAUCCAAAAACAGAGGGCACACCCGUGAGGGAUUGCUUUUGCUUCAGUGAAUCCAUUUCUAGUCCAGACCUUUGAGGUAGGAAGGCACACACCUGUGAUCUGGUCCUUAAGGUGGGAACACACACAUCCUCUUCUGAAAGUCCACAUAAGGACAUAGAAGAAGGAAGCUUUUGCCUCCUGCUUGCUUUCGACCACCUGGAUAGUAAGUCCAUUCCUUCACUGAUAUUGAAGCCUACUGUCAACGUCUAGUGCGUUGGGGGCCCUGGGUACGGUUGCAAAAAACCAGGACACAGGGGAUGCAGAGCAAAGGCAGAAGCAGUUGCAUGCAUUUGCAAGCUUUAUUAAUCCUUAUAUAGACAUAAGUAUGCAUUACCUCAACUUCCAUUUUGGCAAGAUACCAUAAGAUUGUUAUUCCCACGAUACCAGGAACAACUGAGGCAAGACUAAACAAAGAAAUAAGACUAAACGAAGGCUUCUUCUCAAAAUAUUCAUAUAACAAAUCACCCCUCUUUCAUUAUCAAAAUAUACUCUCCAUAACCCAGAGAGCAUGGGAGCCACUUCCACAGAAACAGGACACAGCAGAACAUAGUUUAGGGCCAAGUGAGAAAAACAUUUUCUUCUCAAGGGCAGCAUUCCAGCCCCUACUUGCCCCUGUCACCAGUCCUUACUUGAUCCUGUCUGGGAGCUGCAUCUCUAUGUCUCCACAGUCUACUUUGGGAUCCCGGCAUAUACUGAAGCCCAACUGAGACACUCAGAAUGUCAACUGAGCAACUACUGGAUUGCUGGACUUCCCAUUCAUAACCAUCAUUGUUGGACUACCUGGACUGCAACCUGUAAGCCAUUCCAUCAAGGUGUGUGUGUGUGUGUGUGUGUGUGUGUGUGUGUGUGCAUGUGUGUGUGCACGCGUGCGUGUGUGUGUGUGUGUUAUGGUCUGACUCCCCCCAGAAUAUCUGUACCCAUUUUGUUCCAUGCCUGCCAGCUGUCUGCCUGGACAGC
rnacentral:sRNA from 1 species